CAAAAUGUAGCUUAACAAAAGCCUCUUGCUUACACCAAGAAAAUACCCGUGAAAUUCGGAUCAUUUUGA
rnacentral:tRNA from 1 species